AUUGAACGCUGGCGGAAUGCUUUACACAUGCAAGUCGAGCGGCAGCGCGGGGCAACCUGGCGGCGAGCGGCGAACGGGUGAGUAAUACAUCGGAACGUACCCAGUUGUGGGGGAUAGCCCGGCGAAAGCCGGAUUAAUACCGCAUACGACCUGAGGGUGAAAGGGGGGGGAUCGCAAGACCUCUCGCAGUUGGAGCGGCCGAUGGCGGAUUAGCUAGUUGGUGAGGUAAAGGCUCACCAAGGCGACGAUCCGUAGCUGGUCUGAGAGGACGACCAGCCACACUGGAACUGAGACACGGUCCAGACUCCUACGGGAGGCAGCAGUGGGGAAUUUUGGACAAUGGGGGGCAACCCUGAUCCAGCCAUUCCGCGUGAGUGAAGAAGGGCCUUCGGGUU
rnacentral:rRNA from 1 species